rnacentral:lncRNA from 1 species
UUGCCAAAGUGCGGGCCAUGUAAUGAACUGUAAGAUAGCCAAUCUCCAAUUUUCUUCAUUUCUUCAAUUUAGCUCUGAAAGUUCCAAAAUUUCACCAAGAGCUUCCCUUGACCAUCCUAAGCAUGCUCCAAUCUUCAAAUCACCCUGAAACAUCCAUAAAAAAUGGUGAAAUAUCGAUAGAUCCUCGAUAAUGUCCUUAAAUGCAAAAUGAAUGAAUAUUUCACUAAAAAUUCAAUGCAAUGCUACAAAUAAACAUGAAAUUAGCUUAUGAAAAGGUGCAAUUUAUGCACCUAACAACUACUGACUUAAGCAUCAGAGGGAUGCUAGCUAAGAUAACGCCCACCCCAAGCUAAAAUUUGUAAAAUGCAUAAACUCAAGGAUCCUAGCCACUAUGAAUAAAGACUAAUCAUCUCUCCUUCGACUAAGGGUACUUAAUCCCCUCUAAGGUUUAAAGAGUUAAUAACCUCUUUAAUCCGUGUUUGGGUUUACACACCCCGCUUGGACGCACGAUAUCUUACUAUGGGAUGUGAGUAAGGGGAUCAUUUCACGCUUUAGUGACUUGACAACCCUCUUAUUUCUAAAAAUAUGUUCAGAUCCUAAGGUUUAAAAAUUUAAUGACCUCUUUCUCACGAGUUUAGGUUUCUACACUUCACUUGGACGCAUGAUAUCUAACUGUGGGAUGUGAAUAAGGGGAUCAUUUCACGCUUUAGUGACUUGGAAACCCUUUUAUUUCUGAACAUAUGUUAAGAUCCUAAAGUAAAUUUCUAAGGUUUAUAACACUUUCAUGUUAUAUUACGAAAUGGGAUUUUCCCCAGUUAUUAUCUGAAAUUGGGAUUUUCCCCAGUUAUUAUCUAAACUUAGGAUUUUACCCAGUUAUUAUCUAAAGUUGGGAUUUUCCCCAAGUAUAAUCUAAGUUGGAAUCUUUCCUAAUAUAAUAUAAUUUGGGAUCUUCCCUAAUAUCUUCCCCAUUAUUUCUUAAGCUGGGAUCUUCCCCAGUAUUUCUUAAGUUGGGAUUUUCCCCAGUAAAACUUUAAGUUGGGAUCUUCCCCAGUGAAUUACUAUAUGGGAUCUGUCCCAAUUUUACCUGAGUUGGGACUUUUCCCAGUGAAUUCUACAGUUGGGAUUAUCUCUCAAAAACAUAUUCGGAAGAACUCUCUUCAAGAUGAUAAAAUCUAUCCAAAGUAAUGUUCAGAGAGAUGACCAAAAGAUCAAUUGGAGUUUAAGCUGGCAGCAGGUUCUAUCUAUCACUACACCUAAGAUUGUCAUUAAUAGUUCUUUUUCUUUGAAAAAGUUCUACAACAACUUUCAAGAUUUUUUUAAAAAAAAUUUAAGGAUCCCGGAUAUUACAGGAUCCCAGGCAGGUAGUUAUUUACUUCAUAUUAUUAAGAUCCUAAUAGUUUUUAUAAACUCUAAACUUCUUAGGAUCUUAAUUAUUUGGAAAGCUUUUGAAAAAUUCAUUAUCCUAUUUAUACAACCAAAGUAACCAUGCAAGAAAAAGAGAAAAACCAAAGCAUCAAAUUUAAAAGGGGAUGCCCUCCAACCCAAGAAAAGAAAAUAUUGUUUUACAUACCAAAAAAUUUAAAUUGUUUGAAAAUUUAAUCAAACCUAAUUCAAGGUUUGAUCAUCCCUAACUAGGGUAUCCUCUGUCUCCUUCUUCUCUUCCUCCCUUUUAUUCUUCUUCUCUACAGGAUCCUGAAUGACAUUAAUGUGCCUACUAGUUAACUUGGCCAAAGCUUCACGCCAACCAGCCACAUUCCAAGAUCCUGCGCCAACUUAAUCUUCGUCUCCCAGAUGGAUUCUAGGGUACUGCUCUUAACCUCAACAACCACCUCCUUGAUCUCCAAGGCGUGCUCCAUGAGGAUGUCUUCUCCUUCUUUGCCAAGAUUUGACCGCUAGACAUGGCCUCAUCAAGUUCAAGGAAGGAGAAGCGAGCAUUAGAAUGUGUAGCCUUGGAUCCUGAAAAUUGCAAAGAAUCCUCAUCAGUUUGAGAUCCCCCAAAUGAAACAAGUAAAAAGAAGGAUCCUUACCGAUAGACAUCAGAGUAAUGGUGGAAGAACCCUCUUGGAAGUUGGAAUGGUCAAAAUUGAAAGAUCUUUCAUCCUCAAGCAAAGCGAGAAAGCUUUCAACCUUCUCCUCAGUAUCUUCAGCAGAUGAACCAACUUCCUCGAACUUGAAAAUGUGCCAAAACAAACAAAAUAAGGACACGUGAAUUUCAGGAACCUUAUCAUAAUUAAAUAAUAUCGUACCCUUUUUAACCUAGUUUAUUGACUGGAGAUCGUUGAUGGGAAUAGAGUUGUGUUUCACAAACAAAAACCUUACUUUCCAGGCACCAACUUUUUGUUUUCAUUUCAAAAUUAAAUGUGAUUUGUUGGUUUUAACUUUGAGCGGAAAAUGAGAAGAUCAAAAAGUUUAAAGAUCGUAAACAUUAGCCAAUUCAGGUAACCCCGUGUCAAUGUUUUUAAAUGGAUUCAUCCAACAGAUCCAGAAAAAUAUCCUCUAGAUCACAGACAAGUUUGAGAACAAUAAAUUUUUGUAACUUCGAAGAACUCAGAGAUGAUGCCAGAAAAAGGGUAUGUCAAGCCCAAGGAGAAAGAAUAUUCAGGAAAACAAACCCAUGUAGGAAAGACGAAGCCAGGUUUGGCCUUAGCAUCAAAGGCAUGAAAAUGAUAUUGGUAGGAAAAGCUCUGAUCGAUUUCAAGGACUCAGUGUCAUUAUCGUCAAAAGAGAAAGUCCCCUCAUAAGGCAAGAUCUUUUAAUCGAGGAAGCCCUCAUCAGGAAGAGUAAGGAUGCUCAAUCGAAAACAGAGUGUCUCUUACCCAUGAUCAAUAAACAAGAAAAAUGAGAAGAAAAGAACAAGAAAUUUACCUUCAAGAUAACCGAUAACGCUUGAAAGAGAGCUAAAAGAAGUAAUAGAAUAUUGAUAACCAUUAACCCCUAUUUAUGUGGAUCGCAGAGAAUAGAGAAGAGAUUUCACCACAUAAUCAUAUCUUUUGAACGGAUACAAUUCUAUCUGUUAGGGUUUGAAUCUCAAAUCCUUUAUUUACAACUAAUUAAAUUAUAAACUUUAAAUACUUGAAAUUAAUUCAAAUACUUUGUGAGUAUAAUUUUGGGGCAAUUGUUAGGGUUGAUAUCCUCAAUCCUAUCCAAGAUCUCGAAUCUCAAAGACAUAUGAGGAUCCUUAAACCUACCUAGGAUCCCAGAUCUUAAAGGAGUCUAAGGAUCCCGAACAUACAUCAAGAUUAUGAACAUCGCUAUUAUUAUUUACUAACAAGUUUAACAUAUAUUUUUCUUGUAUAUAUCUCACAUGUGUAGAAAUGGUCAGCAUAAGACUCAUUCAUAAUGAAGAAUCACUUCACCACACUUAAAACCCGGGAAUACCAAGUCAAAGCACAUUGCAAAUAUCAGUUCAGUAGGAUCCUGAAAAUAUCAGACUUUUACUUACAUACCCUAGACUAUAAAUACACUUGUAACAUGCACACAACAGGCACAAUCUUUUGACACUUUAUAGACCUAGAGCUAGGAAAACACUUGUAAUUGUAUUUCUAUCAUCAUCUUUGUAAUUUACAUUCAAAUCAAUAAGAUCAUUAAAGGCAGGUGAUCAUUAUCACCUCCCAAGGUUUUAUGUUGGAGACCCUAGCAAUGAUCAAGGACUUUCCUUGUAAACUACCCGUGUUAUGUUUAUCUCAAUUCAGUACUCAUAUUAUUCACAACAUCACAUCCUCUCAUUCAAUUUGGUUAAUAUCAUCUUAGUCGAUUUUUGACCAAAACAUAAGGGUCAAAAUGUAAAAUACCUAGAAAUCGAGAUGUUAAAAUUCUUCCUUGCUUGAAUUAGACUUCAACCUCGAAGUCCGCUACUAUGAACAACUUAGGGUAUUGCUCCUGCAUCUCUGACUCAGGUUCCCAAGUCCAUUCGGAACCCUUCCGAUGUUUCCAGUUGACCUUGACCAAAGAUACCACCUUGUUGCGCAAGGCCUUCUUUUUCUUAUCCAAAAUUUCCACUGGUCUCUCAACAUAAUUCAUGUGAUCAUCAACCUAAAUAUCAUCCAGAUGAACAACUGUUGAAUCAUCAAGCAUACACUUCCGAAACUGAGAAACAUGGAAGGUGUUGUGAAUAUCACUGAGCUCUUCAGAAAAAUCUAACCGGUAAGAUACCCUGCCAAUCCUGGCAAUCACUCAAAAUAGCCCAAUAAACUAGGGGCCUAACUUUCCCCUCUUCCUGAAGCGUAUUUCACCCUUCUUGGGUGAUACCUUCAGCAUAACCAUAUCACGGACCUGGAACUCCAACUCCGAUCGGCGUCUAUCGGCAUAACACUUCUACCGACUCUGAGUUGUGUGCGACCUAUGUCUGAUCUGCUAAAUAAGCUCUAUCAUAUGAAGGACUACUUCGGUCCUUCCAUAACCUAGUGGCCGACCUUUCCCUAGCAGGCUGGGGUACGAUCCCAUAGAGAAGAUCAAAUGGCGGUGCACUGAUACUAGAGUUAUAGCUGUUAUUGUACGAAAACUCAGCUAAGGGAAGGUAGGAGUCCCAACUCCCACCGAAAGCAAUCACACAGGAUCGCAACAUGUCCUCAAGUGUACGAAUGGUCCGCUCGCUCUGACAGUCAUUCUGCAGAUGAUAAGUAGUCCUAAAGUGUAGUCUCGUACCCAGUUCCUCGUGGAAUCUCAGUCAAAACCGCGAAGUGAACCGAACAUCCCGAUCUGAUAUAAUAGAAACUAGAACACCAUGUUGGGCGACGAUCUCAUGCACAUACACAUCAGCCAAUUUCUCAGUCGAAGAGCUCUCCCGGGUAGCUAAGAAGUGGGCAUUCUUGGUCAAACGGACCAUUAUCACCCAUAUCACAUCGAACCCCUUAGCCGUCCGAGGUAGCUUGGUGAUGAAAUCCAUGGUCAUGUGUACCCAUUUCCAGAUAGGAACCUACAGAGGCUGAAGCUUUCCAUAUGGCCUCUAGUGCUCGGCCUUGACCAUCUGACAGGUCAAGCACCUAUCGACAUACUAGGUUAUUUCCCUCUUCAUGCAUGGCCACCAAUAACUAAGAUGCAAAUCCGGAUACAUAUUGGUGGUUCCAGGGUGUAUACAAAAUUUGGACUUAUGUGCCUCCUCCAGCACAGACUGCCUGAUCCCACCAAAAUCUAGUACCCAAACCUGAAUGCAUUGGGUCAACAAUGAAAACCUGUCAAUCUCGCCCCUUAUUUGAUCCCGAUUCCAAUUCUCCUUCUUGACUCCCUUAACCUAAGCCUCCCUAAUCAAAUCCAGUAAUGGUGAAACAAUAUAAAUCCUCAUACAUAGGCUAUCCAUAGCAGAACUAACCGACUUGUAGCUCAAAGCAUCAGCGACCACAUUUGCUUUUCCCAGGUGGUACAAAUUUUCGCAGUCAUAAUAUUUGAUCACGUCGAGCCACCUACGUUGUCUCAUAUUCAGAUUCAGCUGAUCCAUGAGAUAUCUCAAACUCUUGUGAUCCAUGUAGAUAGUACACUGGACCCCAUACAAAUAAUGUUGCCAAAUCUUGAGAGCAAACACCACCGCUCCCAACUCCAAAUCAUGUGUCGGAUACCGAACCUGAUGCGGCUUCAGCUGCCUAUAAGCAUACACAAUAACUCUCCCACAUUGCAUAAGCAUCGCUCCCAAACCGGUGACGGAUUCAUCACAAUAUACUACAAAAUCCUCGACACCCUAAGGUGUAACAGCCCGAAAACCAGGUACCCUUCUAUUUAUCCCUUCAUCUUUGUUAUGUUCUCUUUUUAGGGUUGCAUGAUUUGCGAGUACGCUGGGCGUACAAGAGGUACGUUGCGCGUACUCGUGCGCUUCAUUUGGACGCGUUCACCCUCAAGUACGCUGGGCGUACCCAAGGUUACGCGUUCACCCUCGUGAACAUUGCACCAUGCAUGAGAUCUAGGUCCUUGAGUUGGAAUAGAGUGAUGUUAUGAAGUGUUGGAGCCAUUACAGCCAUGCCAAGGCUUAAAGGUCUCGACUUUAUGGGUAUAGACGCAUAAACUGAGCCGGAUCUAGAAGUUGGAGUAAUGGCUUAACCGAUUAAGACCAGAAAUGAUGUAUGCUAAAGUCCGAUGGUUACAUUGGGCGUCACUUCCAGUACGCGCAGCGUACUGGGUGGAGACCCCGAUCCAUGGGUUGGCGAUGUACGCCCCGCAUACAUCAAGCAGUACGCCCCGCGUACUCGUAGGGUUGACUUUUGUUGACUUUUUAGGGUUUUGGUCAACAUGAAGACUUUGGGUCAAGGAGGGGUAAAAUGGUCUUCUACCCUCUGAGGAUGAUGAUAAGGGUUAAAGUUUAGUUGUGGAAGUCUUGAUUAUUAAAUGAUAUUUUAUGAUUAGGCGAGGUAGAGUCGUCGUUGGGUUUUGGAGAUAGCGAGUACGCGAGAUCUUAGACUUUCCACGAGGUGAGUCUUCUCACUAUACGUUACCUUGAGUGGUAUUCUGGUUUGGCCAGAGGGUCUUAUGUGCUAUUUAUGAGAUUGUAUGCUAUGUGUUAUUUGUAUGUUGUAUGACUAUAUGGACCGGACCGGAGGGUCCAACGAUUCAGAACGGGCCAGAGGGCCCAAUGAGCUAUGACUGGACCAGAGGGUCCGACAAGCUGCGGGACUGGAGGGUCCCGCUGAGACAUCUUGACCAAAGGGUUGGGUUUAGCCUCGAGUGGCGUAUUUGUGGUAUGUGGUAUUUUGGGGAACUCACUAAGCAUUAUGCUUACAGUUGUUGUGUUUGAUGUCUCAGGUACCAGCGAGGACCGAGGGAAGGCGACGGCUUGACUCGUACACACUCACACCGAUGGAGUUAACAUUUGAGAGAUCUUGGGAAUUUGUUUUGAAAACAUUGUUGUUUCGGAUUCGAAAUUAUGAUAUGAUAUACAUUUUGUGGUUUUAAAAAUUAAAAAUUUAAUUGGAAUUUUACGUUGUUACAAGUUGGUAUCAGAGCCAGGUUUGAGGGAUUCGGAUGCACCUUCGGGCGUAUUUGAACUCAAACCGAGGAUUUGAGAAAUUUUACAACCAAAACUGCAAAUUUUCUAAAAAGAAAAAGAAGUUUUGGAAACGAGCAGAGUGGAUGGUGUGUACGGUCAGCCAGCGCCCGAACGGUGAAUCCCCAAAAUACCCUUACAUUAUAUGUUAUGAGUUAUGAGAUAUUAUUUUAUGCAUGAUAGAGAGGCUAGGUAUUCCUAUAAGGACUAGAGUGGCCUGAUUUGUGAUGCCUUAGCCUAGGAGAUUACUGCUGCUAUGAGAUACUUUGAGAGUGAGUAGGUAGCAGUGAGGAGCUCAUGAUAGGUCUACUGAGGGUAGCCAAUGCAUAGCGAGAGUAGAGUAUUUACGACUUGGGAUCCUAGGAGGAGGACUUGGAUUGUAUAUUGAUUCGAUGUGGACAAUAGUAUUGGGCCCGUACUAUUGAAAACACCGGAUUGGUGCGCAGUCCAAGUAAGAAUCCUUGGGGGUACCAGGAGAGAGGAUGUUUGAGUUAUCGAGUGUGAGUAUACUCGAGAGUAUCCCUGAUAUUUCUUAUGUUGUAUUUCAGAGGUUGAUCAUGGUCGGGACACGCCAUAACCCCGAGAGCAGUGGGGUGAGCGAUGAGGAGAUCCGUCGGAUCAUCCAUGAGGAGGUGGCUGCUGCCAUCAGAGCCGAGAUUCCGGAGAUGUUUGGGUCUAUUAAGACCACACUGAUCGAGACGUUUGACGAGCGUUAUGCUGCCUUGACUGAUGCUGUUGUUGCUGCAGCCACAACAGCUGUUGCUGCUGCAAGACCCCAGGGUGGUGAUUCGUUGCUGUACCGAGAGUUCAGCAACACAAAACCACCAGAGUUCGAUGGUACGCAGGACCCAAUCGCCGUUCUGAGGUGGAUCUCAAACAUGGAGGGGUGUUUCUAUACGUGCUCGUGUCCGGAGCACUUGAGGGUGCGAUUCGCACUCAACCAGCUUCGCUUGGGGGCGAAGGACUGGUGGAAAUUCGUGACCGCGAGCUAUUCUACAGCUGAGCUGACUGCAGUGACCUGGGAGAGGUUUACUAUGAUGUUUCGUGACGAGUAUGUUCCCCAGGUGGAGAGGGAACGUUUAGCUCAGGAGUUUCUGACCCUCAAGCAGGGGACAGAGUCGGUGACAGUGAUUACGAGGAUGUUUCAUGAGCGGGCGCUGUUUUGCCCGGAGUUGGUGUCCACUGAGCAGGCUCGCAUGAGCCGUUAUCUGAGUAUUUUGAGGAGGGACAUCCGUGAGUUCGUGGCGAACUCGACUUACCAGACAUUUGCCGAGCUCCAGGCAAAUGCCAGGAAGAGGGAGAUCGAGCUUGAGACUCAGGCGAGGGAGGAGACUGAGUUGUAGAGGGGUGAUCGACGACCGGUGCAGUCGUAGCCGGCCGCCAAGUGGGCAACGCCCACUGAUUCGAGGAUGGGCAGUUCGAGGGGCCGCACUUGUGGGAAGUGCGGCAAGAGCCAUGAUGGGACGUGCAAGACUGGGGUAUGCUACAAAUGCGGGAAGGAAGGACAUUUUGCGAGGGACUGUCCGAAGGGGUUCUCGGUUUGCUUCCAUUGCAACCAGACCGGCCAUCGGAAGGCCGAGUGCCCCCAGCUUCAGAGGUCAGCGCAGGGAUCUGCACCUGCGGUUCGAGCUGCUGAGACCCGGCCAGUGAAGGCCGAAGCACCGAAGGCUAGGGGGAGAGCCUUCCAGCUGACUACGGAGGAGGUCCGCGCAGCACCUGACGUCGUGGCGGGUAUGUAAUCUUUAUCUAUUUUAUGUUGAGUUUAUGCUAUUGUAAUUGCUAUAUGUUAUGCGUAGGUACUUUUCUUGUGAGUUCUGUACCUGCAUUGGUUUUAUUCGACUCGGGUGCGAGUCGGUCUUUCAUAUCUUUGGCUUUUAGUCGGCACAUUAGUAUUCCGAGGGAGGCGUUGAGUCGACCUCUGCGGGUUUCCAUAGCAGAUGAGCGUGAGGUAUGUGCUACCGAGGUGAUACGUGGAUGCAUGCUGGAGAUCUUCGGGGUGGAGUUCCCGAUUGAUUUGAUUCCGAUCGCUAUGGGGGAUGUUUGUGUCAUAGUAGGAAUGGAUUGGUUGAGCCGUUUUGGGGCUGUCAUAGAUUGCGAGCGUCAAUUGGUGAAUAUCCGAGAUCCUAGUGGGGGAGCGCUGACGGUUUACGGAGAAGGGACUCGUGGUGGUUCGGUUUUAUGUUCGGCCGCUAGAGCGAGGCGAAGUUUGCAGCAGGGCUGCAAGGGGUUCGUAGCCUAUGUGACAGAUGUGCGAGAGGCCGCUGGGAGGCCAAUUUCAGUGGAUGAGGUGCCGAUAGUGCGUGAGUUCCCGGACGUGUUUCCCGAGGAGUUGCCGGGUGUGCCUCCCGAGAGGCAGGUGGAGUUUCGUAUCGAUUUGGUUCCCGGGGCUGCGCCUAUCGCCAAGGCGCCGUAUCGGCUAGCACCGCCAGAGAUGCAGGAGUUAUCCUCACAGCUGCAAGAGCUGUUGGGGAAAGGGUUCAUCCGUCCCAGUAGCUCUCCCUGGGGAGCGCCGAUCCUUUUUGUCAAGAAAAAGGAUGGUUCACACCGGAUGUGCAUUGAUUACCGGGAGUUGAACAAGUUGACGGUCAAGAACCGUUAUCCGUUACCGAGGAUCGACGAUCUAUUCGAUCAGUUGCAGGGGGCGUCUUGGUUCUCCAAGAUUGACUUGAGAUCGGGAUAUCACCAGAUGAGAGUUCGGGAUGAGGAUAUCCAGAAGACGGCGUUUAGGACUCGUUACGGGCAUUACGAGUUCGUGGUGAUGCCAUUCGGGCUCACCAAUGCACCAGCGGCGUUCAUGGAUCUCAUGAACAGGGUGUGUAGGCCGAUGUUGGAUCGUUCGGUGAUUGUUUUCAUUGAUGACAUCCUGGUGUAUUCGAGGACCAGAGAGCAGCAUGCGGAACAUUUGAGGGAGCUCCUCGGAAUUCUGAGAUCGGAGAGGCUCUUUGCCAAAUUCUCCAAGUGCGAUUUCUGGUUACGGGAAGUCCAGUUUUUAGGGCAUCUCGUUAACCAGAACGGGAUAUUGGUUGACCCAGCCAAGAUUGAGGCUGUGAUGAGUUGGGAGGUGCCGAGGUCACCUACGGAGAUCAGGAGCUUCUUGGGGCUGGCAGGCUACUAUAGGAGAUUUAUCAGAGAUUUCUCCAAGAUCGCCGUGCCACUUACCAAGUUGACCCGGAAGGGUGUUACUUUCUCAUGGGGUCCGGAGCAGCAAACCUCGUUUGAGACCCUUCGUCAGAGAUUGUGCGAAGCUCCUGUACUCGCACUACCGGAAGGGAUGGAGGAUUUCGUGGUGUAUUGUGAUGCUUCGAUAUUGGGGAUGGGAGCGGUGUUGAUGCAGAGAGGGCAUGUGAUCGCGUAUGCAUCGAGGCAGUUGAAGCCUCAUGAGACGAGAUAUCCCACCCACGAUUUGGAGUUGGGGGCUGUAGUGUUUGCCCUCAAGAUCUGGCGUCACUAUCUGUAUGGGGUUCGGUGUACGAUAUACACUGACCACAAGAGCUUAAAGUACUUGAUGGAUCAGCCAAACCUGAAUAUGCGCCAGAGGAGAUGGUUGGAUGUGGUGAAGGAUUAUGAUUGUGAGAUCCUGUACCACCCGGGCAAGGCUAAUGUCGUAGCCGACGCUCUGAGCCGUAGGUCGGAGAGCGCCCCGAUACGAGACAUUUGUAUGAGGUUGACGGUGAUGACUCCGGUAUUGGACACCAUCCGAGGGGCCCAGGCUGAGGCUGCGAGACCAGAGAACCGAAAGCGGGAGCGGGUCGUUGGGCAGGUGUCGGAGUUCGUUACCGAUAGUCGGGGGCUUAUGACGUUUCAGGGUCGGAUUUGGGUACCGUUUGUGGGCGGGACGCGUACCAUUUUGAUGGAGGAGGCGCAUCGAUCGAAGUUCUCGAUCCAUCCCGGGGCUACCAAGAUGUAUUUGGACCUAAAGAAGGAGUAUUGGUGGCCCUGUAUGAAGAGGGAUGUUGCUUGGUUCGUCGAGAGGUGCCUAACUUGUCGCCAAGUUAAGGCCGAGCACCAGCGUCCGCAUGGUAAGCUGCAGCCGUUGGAGAUUCCCGAGUGGAAGUGGGAACAGAUUACCAUGGAUUUUAUCACCAAAUUGCCAAGGACUGCGAGAGGAGUCGAUGCAAUUUGGGUGAUUGUGGACAGGUUGACGAAGAGCGCUCAUUUUCUUGCUAUCAGUGAGAGCUCUUCUGCUGAGAGGUUGGCAGAGUUGUAUGUGAGGGAGGUGGUAUCGCGGCAUGGGGUUCCGUUGUCGAUCGUUUAAGAUCGAGACGUGCGAUUUACUUCCAGAUUUUGGAAGAAGUUCCACGAGGAGUUAGGUAUGAGGCUGCAUUUCAGUACCACAUACCACCCGCAGACAGACGGACAGAGGAAGCGGACGAGUCAGACGCUUGAGGAUAUGCUCCAAGCAUGUGUUUUGGAUUUUGGAGGGAGAUGGGACACCUAUCUACCCUUGGCAGAGUUUUCGUACAACAACAACCAUCAUUCGAGCAUUGGUAUGCCACCUUUUGAGCUGUUGUAUGGGAGGAGGUGUCGCACCCCCAUCUGCUGGGGAGAGGUGGGGCAACGGGUAAUGGGUAGCACAGAGAUUGUACUCCAGACGACCGAGCAGAUACAGCAGGUCAGGCAGAGAUUGUUGACCGCGCAGAGUCGCCAGAAGAGUUAUGCGGACAGGCGUCGGUCCGAGCUCGAGUUUCAGGUUGGUGACCUUGUGCUCCUAAAGGUCUCUCCUUGGAAAGGAGUGAUACGAUUCAGGAAGAGGGGCAAGUUGGGACCCCGAUACAUUGGACCCUUCAGGGUAAUUGCUAGGGUAGGCAGGGUAGCCUACCGGUUGGACCUACCUGCUGAAUUGGGACAGAUCCACGACACCUUUCAUGUUUCUCAGUUGAGGAAAUGCAUUGCCGACGAGUCGGCCGUGGUGCCUUUGGAUGAUAUUCAGGUGGAUGCAGGCCUGAAUUAUGUGGAGAGGCCAGUGGCGAUCAGGGAUCGAAGGGUUAAGGUUCUGAGGAACAAGGAAGUACCCUUGGUACAAGUGCAGUGGCAACAUCGGAAGGGGUCCGAGCUGACAUGGGAGCCCGAGGCUGAGAUGCGGGAUCAGUAUCCGGAGUUGUUUUCGGUAUGAGACUUCGGGGACGAAGUCUGGUUCUAGUGGGGGAGAAUUGUAACAGCCCGAAAACCAGGUACCCUUCUAUUUAUCCCUUCAUCUUUGUUAUGUUCUCUUUUUAGGGUUGCAUGAUUUGCGAGUACGCUGGGCGUACAAGAGGUACGCUGCGCGUACUCGUGCGCUUCAUUUGGACGCGUUCACCCUCAGGUACGCUGGGCGUACCCAAGGUUACGCGGGGCGUAACCGGUCCAGACCUAAAAACCCUAAUUCAUUUGGAGGGCUAUAAAAGGAAUGUGUGGCUCGACUUCUCAGCCACCAUCCCUCAGAAAGAAACCCUAAAGAGAGUGUGCAACCGUUCUUAGGCCAUUUGUGAGUAUUCUAAGCUUGGUGGUGCCAUUUCUAGGUAGCAAAGGAGAAGAGGAGCUCAUUGGGGAAGGCUAGAAGUGGUACUCAAGUGUAGAUCUGAGCUUAGCAAAGGUUGAGGCUUCAUUUCAAGGUAAAAAGCUCGGAUCUUGUUCUAUAGUUCUUGUAAUAUGCUUCAUGUACCAUUUUCUAGGGUUUUAGUCCCAAAGGUGGAGACUUUUGAGCAAAUGGUCUCCAUAAGCUUAGAUCCUUCGUAUUUCUGGUCUAUUUGAGUUGUAGACUCAUAAAAAUGCAAUCUUGGUCGUGAACAUUGCACCAUGCAUGAGAUCUAGGUCCUUGAGUUGGAAUAGAGUGAUGUUAUGAAGUGUUGGAGCCUUUACAGCCAUGCCAAGGCUUAAAGGUCUCGACUUUAUGGGUAUAGACGCAUAAACUGAGCCGGAUCUAGAAGUUGGAGUAAUGGCUUAACCGAUUAAGACCAGAAAUGAUGUAUGCUAAAGUCUGAUGGUUACGCUGGGCGUAACUUCCAGUACGCGCAGCGUACUGGGUGGAGACCCCGAUCCAUGGGUUGGCGAUGUACGCCCCGCGUACAUCAAGCAGUACGCCCCGCGUACUCGUAGGGUUGACUUUUGUUGACUUUUUAGGGUUUUGGUCAACAUGAAGACUUUGGGUCAAGGAGGGGUAAAAUGGUCUUUUACCCUCUGAGGAUGAUGAUAAGGGUUAAAGUUUAGUUGUGGAAGUCUUGAUUAUUAAAUGAUAUUUUUUUAUGAUUAGGCGAGGUAGAGUCGUCGUUGGGUUUUGGAGAUAGCGAGUACGCGAGAUCUUAGACUUUCCACGAGGUGAGUCUUCUCACUAUACGUUACCUUGAGUGGUAUUCUGGUUUGGCCAGAGGGUCUUAUGUGCUAUUUAUGAGAUUGUAUGUUAUGUGUUAUUUGUAUGUUGUAUGACUAUAUGGACCGGACCGGAGGGUCCAACGAUUCAGAACGGGCCAGAGGGCCCAAUGAGCUAUGACUGGACCAGAGGGUCCGACGAGCUGCGGGACUGGAGGGUCCCGCUGAGACAUCUUGACCAGAGGGUCGGGUUUAGCCUCGAGUGGCGUAUUUGUGGUAUGUGGUAUUUUGGGGAACUCACUAAGCAUUAUGCUUAUAGUUGUUGUGUUUGAUGUCUCAGGUACCAACGAGGACCGUGGGAAGGCGACGGCUUGACUCGUACACACUCACACCGAUGGAGUUCACAUUUGAGAGAUCUUGGGAAUUUGUUUUGAAAAAACUGUUGUUUCGGAUUCGAAAUUAUGAUAUGAUAUACAUUUGGUAAUUUUAAAAAUUAAAAAUUUAAUUGGAAUUUUACGUUGUUACAUAAGGGAGGGUCAACACCUGGGCCUCACAUAACUUCUAUCUCAGAGUCUCGGAUGCAGCCUGCUGCUCAGGCUCCCAGCGGAAAUCCAUGCCAUUCCUCGUCAGACGAGUGAGGGGUACAACAAUCUUGGAGAAGUCAUGAAUAAAUCUCUAAUAAUACCCUGCUAAUCCCAAAAAACUCCUGAUCUCCAAGGGAGACUUCGGAACCUCCCACUGCACCACAGACUCAAUCUUGGUCGGGCCGACUAGAAUCCCAUUCUGGUUAUUGAUCUAUCCUAAGAAAUGGACCUCCCAUAACCAAAACUCAUACUUUGAGAACUUGGCAUACAACUAUUCUCGUCUCAAAACUCCCAGAAGCUCUCAAAGGUGCUCCUCAUAUUGCUACCUAGUCUUGGAAUAGACCAGUAUAUCAUCAAUAAAAUAAUGAUUGAUCGAUCGAGCAUUGUCAUGCAAACCCGAUUCAUCAAGUCUAUAAAUGCCACAGACACAUUGGUGAGCCCAAACGACAUCACCACGAACUCGUAAUGACCAUAAUGAGUCUGAAAUGCGGUCUUCUCCAUGUCCUCCUCUCUAAACCUCAUCUGAUGAUACCCUAACCUCAAAUCAAACUUGGAGAACCAAGAUGCACCUUGCAACCGAUCAAAGAGGUCAUAAAUAAACAGAAGUGGGUAAUGGUUCUUCAUUGUCAACUUGUUCAACUACCGGUAAUCAAUGACAUCGGGUCUGAACCAUCAUUCUUCUAUAUAAACAAGAUUGGUGUUGCCCACGAUGAAUUGAUCGGUCUAAUAAAUUGCUUGCCCAACAACUCCUGAAGCUGAGAGGACAACUCAUGCAUCUUCGGUGGUGCCAAUCGUUAUGCCACUUUAGCAAUAUGGGCCUUACCGGGGACCAAAUCGAUCCUGAAUUCAACCUGCCUCUCAGGAGGCACACUGGGUAACUCCUUUAGGAACACAUCAGCAAACUCUCUAACAAUAGGCACAUCCGAAAUUGAAUCCUCCUUCACAACCCGGGUGUUAACCAUAUACACAAGAUAACCUAUACACUUGUGAUGCAGAUACUGUCGAGCCCUAGCAGCAGAACAAAAGGCCGAUCCAAUCCUGGUACCCUCUCUAUAAAUAAUGAGCUCUCCUUCACUUGGGGUUUGAACUACAACCCACUGACCCCCGCAGUCGAUCAUCACACCAAACCUGCUCAACCAGUCCAUCUCUACCAUCACACAUAUGCCCUUAUGGGGAUAGGGAUCAGAUCAAUCGGGUAAGACACCUCGAAGAUCUCCAAAACACAACCCUGAUAAACGCUCGAUGCAUAAAUCUCAUGUUCGUUACCGAUAGAAACCCACAACGGACACUCCAACUAUCCAAGAGUCAUAUCAAAACCCUUACUAAAAGAAUGAGAUAUAAAAGACUGACUCGCACCUGAGUCAAAUAGCACAAGAGCAGGCAAUGAGUUCACUAGGAAGGUACCUAACAUAAUUACAUUCAUAAGCAUAAAAAUAAAUAUACUAGGAAGGUACCAAUAACGACGUUUGGCACCGCCCUGGCCUCCUCCGAUGUGAGCUGAAAAGCACGACCCGAUCCCUCGGGGGAUCCGUCCUACCCUGACAUCCAUCUGUAAUCCUUAAAGUAGCAUAUGAUGGAGCCUGAGCUGGUCUCGCAACGAGCAAGGGAUAAUUGGUCAUUACAUGGCCAACCUAUUCAUAGUGGUAACAAAUUUUGGUGCUUGGUACUAGGGCCUACUGACGACAAUCCUUCGCAUAAUGCCCUAUCUGGCCACAAAUGUGGCACCCAGAAGAAGAAUGACAAGAACCCUCAUAAACCUUGCCUCACUUUUCACAAAUGCGGCCCCUAUGUCCCCAAGAACAUGAAUCAGCGGGCUUGAACCGCUUCGCUACCAGUUGUGACUAAACGGAAGCUUGACACUGCUCUCUCAUCUAUAGCUCCAUCUUGAUCUCUCGCCUCCUUGCGGUAUCCUAAAGCUCGGAGAGGGUACCAUAACUUUGGGUGGACACGAACUAUCGGAUAAAUGUCUUGAGCAUGCUCAAGUACCGAGUCAUCUAAGCCUGCUCCGACGCAACAAACUCAACGCAAAAAAUAGCCCUCUUCGUAAACAUCUUGGUAAUCUCCGUCACCAUCCCAUUCGACUGUCUCAGAUCCAGGUACUCUUGAGCCAAUCUCUCCCUCUCCACCAGGGGAACAAAUAUCAUACGAAACAUCUCUGAAAACUACUCCCAAGGAACAGUAGCCUCUGCUCAGGAGUGUACAAACCAGUCACUAACUACCUCAUCUUUAGUGCGCACUUGACUUUCUGGUCAUUCGGGAAAUGAACAUGUAAAGAAACAACCCUACACAUCAGACAACCACCUCAUCGCCACAAUCGGGUCCUUGACCCCAUCAAACUCCAGGGGCUUCAUAUUGUCGAAGUCCCAGUACUAGAAGGAUCUCUCCCCUCGAAUCCCUACAGUAGCACCCUCCAAAAGAACAACAUAGUGAUCAUCACAGAACUCAAUCAUAGUGGUCUUAAUAGACCCAAACAUCUCUGGUAUAGAACCCCGGAAAACAAAAACCACCUCAGUGGCGAUGAUCUCCCGUGUCUGAUCAUCAGACAAUCCUGCCUACCCUGGACACCAGCUCCAGAUCCUGAUCCUAUCGUCUCCACCAUUCUGAAAAUAAAUUAAGACAUAUAAGAAAGGCAACAAAACACAUUGCUACAAUCACAUGACGAGACCAAACCCCCAAGGUUUGUGACUUCCUUGCUACACGUACGGGUCCUGUGCUUUCAGUAUUAUGGGCCCAUACUACCUUCCACACAUACCCGUAUUUGUCUCAAGUAUCAUUACAACCUCCCGAAAACAAAUACAACAAUCAGGAUACCCACACAUUCUAUCCUCACUCUCUUGAGAGUGGCUAAUCAUUCCUCAUCUGGCCGACUACUCACACACAUACUCACUCAUGAAACUUCCACUAACCCUGUAGCUGCUCGUUCAUGCUAAUCAUAUAUAACGUUGGAUCCUAUAAACAGUCGAAUACUUGAGUCUACCCUAAUCCCAUACCCAAACAAGGAACAAGAAAUAAGGCUAAACCAAACAUUCUCAGGCUAUAAAAUCUUAGUUAUGUACAACUAUGAUGCACACACCGAGCAACUACAGUAAUGAUUUCAGUUCCGUCUAGCACAUAAGAAGUCCUCCUAGGCUAUCCGGCAUCAUAUAUUAGGCAAUUCUAUCAUGCAAUUUUUGAAGAUCCCUAAUCUACCACUAGUAUGCAGUUUUAUCAUAAUCAUCAAUAACAAAUAACAGUGUAGGUAACUUGGGGUAUACUUUUCUUGCUCUGGCUGAUCGUACACAUCUCAUCCUUCUUUGGUUACUUUUGAAAACAAUUUUUUUGAAAAUUUUUUUGAAAGAUUUUACAGAUCCUUAGUUUGAUUCUGGAUUUGCUCGAAUGCUCAUCAAAUUCUCUCAAACCAGGGCUAUGAUACCAACUUGUAACAUCCCAAAAGUCAAAAUAAAAAUUUUCAUUUUUAAAUCCAGAGAAAUCAUUGUUUUCAGAUAAAACCCAAAUCAAAACCAAACAUUUACAAAACAUUGUUCUCAAAAGUAGAAAUCAUAUAUAUUAGAGUAUCUCAAAUCAGUAUCAUCAAAACCAAGAGGAUGUGCACGAUCACACCUUUGAUUUUCCACGGACAUCUGAAGUACCUAAAACAUAAAAUUGAAAUUGUAAGUCAAAGCUUAGUGAGUUCCCCCAAGGUACCACUACACAAACAUAUAACAACAUGCAUAUUGGGUCCACAGCUAACAGACUGGAUUACCCAUGAGUCCACAACAUGAGUCUGGUUUGCCUUCCGACCUAUUUCUGGCUUACUCCCAAUCCCACAUCAUAAGUUUGGCUUGCCCCUUAGGCCCACAACUUAUGUCUGGCUUGCUCCCAGGUUUGUUGGCUUUCGCACAAAACAACAUCGCCUCAACCCAACCAUACAAUGUCGACAUAUACAUAACAGAUAACAUAUUUCCAAUAACACAAAUAAUCACAUAACCAAUCCAAAGACUCACAGGCAGAUCUACAAAUCACUAUCGCAUAGCAACAUCCUACAUACCAUGAUACAUAACCGAGUAGGCUGACAUUGGUGCCUUCGACCAACAAGUAUAGUGAAGAAAACUCACCUCUCAGUCUGAAAAGAUAGCUGAACAGCACACUGAUCCGAAUAUUGGCUCUAUCGGUCACCUAUUCAUUGGAAAAUGACCUAACUUCACUAUAAAUAAAUAUAACCAAAAUACCCCUAGGUCAAAAUCUGAUCAAAGUCAAAAAAAUCCAAAAAGUCAGCCCAGUUGACUAAGCUGAGUACGCCCAACAUACUCGGCUUGUACGUUUAGCGUACUCAAGGUCUUAACAAAAAAAAUAGGGUGUUGACCUCGUACGUCCAACUUAAUAUAGCGUACACCCAACGUAUAUAUCUACCACCGUUUCCUUCUAUUAAGAGUUUAAUCCUUUAAGCUCUUUCGCCCAAAAUCCAGAUUUAGUCCUCAAAUGAUGUCCUUAAUCAUAAAGUUUCCAAAUUUAUGAUCUUACAUGGCUAUUAGGUGCUCAAAACCAAAAACCCUAACUUCUUAACUCAUUAAGAUACUAUAACCCAUGCAUGGAAGAAAACUAAUAACCAAGAUUGCAUUUUAAUGACCUUAGACACUCCAAAACAUAUGAAAGGACAACUCAAAUGAAUUAGAGUAACCCAUACUCAAAUACAUAAAGCUUAUGUCACCAAAAUGAAUACAAUCAUGGUUAAUUAAGAUCUAAGCAAACCUUUAUCAAGAUUAGAGUUUUUUACCUCUAAGUAGUGUUAAAUGAUGAUGUGUUUAUGGAUACAAAGUUUUCCAUUCCUCUAAGACGGUCUCCUCAUCCUUAUUCCUCAUUCAAGAUUACCAAAAUACACACUCAAGGCUCAAAGAUGCUCUGAAAAUGGAUUAGGGAUUGUAAGGGUCGAAUAUGAGGUUGGAGGCUGAUGAAUGAAAUGAGCUUUGAGAGUUAAGGAUCUAUAAAUAGUGCAUAAACCAUAAAGGGUUUUGGGUCCAGGCCACGUACGCCCAACGUACGCAAGCAAUUCCCAAAAAUUACAGAAAUGUCAUGCAUGACCAAAUUUGCAAACAAUACUCAUACCAAGGGUCAAAAUGUAAAAUACUUGAAAAUCAGGAUGUUAUAGUUUGGGUAUAAUUCAUGUAUCAGGUAACGUAGUUUAAGCUCAACCAAAUUUCAUUUAUAUCAAAAAUUUCAAAUAACCUAAUAAAGUAUCAAGUCUACUUCAAGCUUCAUGCUUUUAAAUAGGAGGGAAAUUGAUCAAAAGAUUCUAGACCUCCAAUGUGGCUCCUCAAAGAAAAAUAAAAGUCGGUUCCAUAGUUUUAAAUAAAAGAAGAUAACAUAUCACAAUUUACAAGUUUAUAAAACUAAAAAUGUUUUUCAAUAAAAUUCAAAAACCAAUUGUUAGUUUUCUUUUUUAACAUUAAAAAAAAAUAACGAGCCUAAAAACGAUAAAUGUCUUAUUUUGUAUAGAAUGUUUAACAAAUAACUAGAAGUGAUUCUAUAAGAGUUUUCAAGGAACAAGUUAAUUAAGCAUAGUUGGAUGAUUUUAGGUUUGUUUAACUAAUGAUUCUAAGUUUUAAAAUAUAAAUAUAAAACUUAAAAUUAAUAUUUUAAUAUCAUAUUUGGAUUAUUCGAUGAACCGGAAUUAAAAAAAAAAAAAAAAAAAAAAAAAAAAAAAAAAAAAAAGGUUAGCUAAACCUAAAUUGAAUAAUUUUUUUAUUCAAUCAAUCAAAUUGAAUAACCGGAAAACCGAAUAAUCCAAACUAAAUGGUUUGGAUAAAUUAUUUGGUUUUGGUUUUUCUUACUCCCUAAUCAUAUGAAUGAAUUAACAUGGCCUUUCCAAAGUACACAUGUAAUCGAGACAUAACAAACAAAUAGCGGCAACUUUUGAAUUUAAAUCAAUUGUGGGGACAAAAAAACAUAAUAAUAGCAUUAAUCACCCACUUUAAACUCUUUAAAAUAUUGCAUUAAUUUAUCACCGAAUUAAAACCCCUCAACAACUAUUCCCAAAAUAAUCAGAACCCAUUACCACCCAACGCCGAAUCAUUACUCUCUCCCCUGACCCUGACUCUUUUUUUGUUUCUAUCCACAACUCAUCAUCUUCCAUGAUUGUUAUUCGAGUAUCAAUCCUUCAAGAACAAAAAGAACCCAUUCCGCCAUCAAAAGGUAAUUUCUGACUGAAAUACUUUGAAUCUUCCUGUUCAUAUUUUGAUCGAUCCGUUCAAUUUUGCUUUUUUAAAAGUCGGCCAAUUUUGAAUCCGAUAGAUUUAGGGGUUUUUUCUUUAUUAACCCACAAUCGAACUGUAUUUGGGUCAUCAAUGAGCUUUUGAUUUAGGAGCACUCAGUUUCAAAUUAGGGCUCUUGAAAAAAUGGUGGUUGGGAUCGGAAAUGGAAUCGGAAUCGGAAUCGGAAUCGGGGAGUCUCGAGAUUUGAUGACCCAGUUGGUGAAGAUGGGUGCGAAUGGUGGAAGCGGGUCGAGGAACACGAGCCCGAUGGGUCGACGGGUCGGGUCAAGGAACGUUAGUCCAUCAAAGCAGAAAGCAAUCAAGACGAAACCAAGAGGUUUAGAUGAAGAAACAAUCGCCAAAUUCGCUAAAUCUCCUCAACCCGAUGUUCAAAUGGAAGACGAUAUCUGGGCCAUGUUACCCGAAGAUCUAUUAAACGAAAUCCUAGCUCGGAUUCCACCUUUCAUGAUCUUCCGACUCCGUUCCGUUUGCAAAAGAUGGAAUUCAAUCCUACUCGAUUCCGCCUUUCUUCAAUUCCAUUCCCAAGUCCCUUCCCAUGGCCCUUGCCUUCUAACAUUCUACAAAACCUCCAUCAAUUCACAAUCUCAAACACCACAAUGUUCAGUUUUCAGCUUACCCUUAAAACAAUGGUACAGAAUCCCAUUCACCUUUCUUCCUCAAUGGGCAAUCUGUUUAAUCGGGUCAUCAGGUGGGCUUGUUUGCUUUUCGGGUCUCGAUGGGUCAACUUUCAAAACCCUAAUCUGCAACCCCCUCACACAAACAUUUCAAAUCCUUCCACUCAUGCAUUACAACAUUCAACGACAAUUAACAAUGGUGGUUGACCGAAGUCAACGCACCUUCAAAAUCAUAGCUGCAAACGAUCUUUACGGGGACAAAUCCUUACCAACUGAAGUAUACGAUUCAAGAUUCGGUCAAUGGUCAGUCAACCAAACUAUGCCAGCUGUCAAUUUCUGUUCAUCAAAAAUGGCAUUUUGUGAUUCAAGAUUGUAUCUUGAAACCCUUUCACCGAUUGGUUUAAUGGUGUAUAGAGUGGACACGGGGUAUUGGGAACAUGUUCCUGCUAAGUUUCCAAGAUCUUUAUUAGAUGGGUAUUUGAUUGCAGGGGUAAAAAAGAGAUUGUUUUUGGUUGGAAGAGUUGGGGUUUAUAGUACUAUACAAAGUAUGAGGAUUUGGGAGUUGGAUCAUGGUAAGGUGAUGUGGGUUGAAGUUACAAGAAUGCCCCCGAGGUACUUUAGAGGUUUGUUGAGGUUAUCGGCUGAGAGAUUUGAGUGUUUUGGACAAGAUAAUUUGAUUCUUUUUACUUCUUGGAAUCAAGGGAAAGGUUUGUUGUAUGAUGUGGACAAAAAGGUGUGGUCUUGGAUUGCGGGUUGUGGUCUUCGGUUGUAUAAUGGUCAAGUUUGUUUCUAUGAGCCAAGAUUCGAUGCAUCGAUCUACUAAAGUGAAGGAAUUGGCUUCUAAUUUUGAUUUUUUUUUCUUUUGACACUUAUCUAUACUUGUUGAAAAUUGGUUAUACAUGGAAGUUAGUUUGUUAAGAAUGUUUGGUCCUUUGUACUUUUGCAAAAAGUGUUACUCUUUUGACCUUAGGAAAGUCAUAUGACAUGUUGUAGCAAUCUCUUAGUUGGCCUACAUGUUCUGCAACUAACUCAUAUCAUCAUGUGAGAUGUAAAUCAGGUAUACAGUUAGUUGUCUGUUAUGUGAGAUGUAAAUCAGGUAUACAGUUGUCUACUCGAUGACUGUUGUUAGAGCUUAAUGACCGUAAGGAGUCCAAGUCACAUUGGAAUUAAAACUUUGCAUUGUGGCUACUUCAAUUUGAACAUACCCCUUCUUAUUGAUAUUAAAACAAAUCUUGUGAAAGAUUUGUUUAUGACCUUUUUCAUUUGAAAACUGGUGUGUGACAUUCUUAUUGAUAUUAAAACUUAAAAGCUAAGAGUUUAAGCUUUGUUUGAAGCUUAGAAGUUACCUUAAAUCAAAGUAGGUUUGGGCUUUUUACAUUGCUUGCUUGUAAAACUAGGUUGCUAUCAUCAAACGGAAAUGACAUUUUGUAUUAAAGACUCGUUGGGAUUAAAACAUAGGGACCAUAUUUGUAACUUACUCUAAUUAUAAGUACAUUAAUAUUACAUGUGAAAAUAUUUAAGUAUUGUUGGUAAAAAGAUAAAGCAUAUUUCCUAUAUCUAUAAAAGAAGUAAACUUAGAAAGAUAGUGAAAGAUUCACUCAAGAAUAUACCACUUUUGUGUCUUAUGUAUCACUUUAUGACAAAGUAUACAAGUUUUGUUGUAUACCAAUAAACAAAACCCAAAAGAGACUCCAAUGAUUACUAAAUUAGGUGUAUGAACUAUCUUGUCGACCUUUUUAUAUAAAUUGAAUAUGGUUUCUACUACCUUUGCAAUUUUAACGUGCAAUUUUAACGAUGGAUAUAUAUACUAAAGUUCCAAUAUUUUCAUCGAUUUGAUAAAAAAAGUCUUAAACUUUAUUUUUUUGACAGUAAAGUCCAAAUUAACUGCAAUUUUUGACAUUUUUACAUUUUUUUCCGGUUAGCCGGUAAUUAUGACUUUUUUGUCAAAAAAAAAAAAAAAUUUAGAAAUUUCUUGUCAAAUCGUCAAUUAGGACUUUAUUGUCAAAAAAAUAAAGUUCAGGACUUUCUUGUCAAAUUGUUGAAAAUAUUGAGACUUUAGUGUAUAUAUCUUUUUUUUGUUAGAAAUUUAAUGGUAUGAUACUCUUUAAGUAUAAGAGUUAUUGAAACUUUCUCUAGUCGGGUAGAUCCUAAUUAAAUCUUUAACGUUUGUUUUUUGUUAAAUCGUUUUUUUAAUCUAAACAAAUCGAUAUUGAAAAAAGGGCAAUUCGUUUUUUUCGGUUUCUUAUUUCUCUACUUUAGGACUGCAAAAAGCCAACACAACCCUGGUUACUUCUUUCUUUUUUUAUUAUCUCCAUUUUUUUUAAUGUCGGUUUGUUGAGAUUAAAAAAACGAUUUAACAAGAAGCAAACGUUAAGGAUUUCAAUAGGAUCUAGUUGACUAGAAAAGGUUUCAGUAACUUUUAUGCUUAAAGAAUAUCAUACCAUUAAAUUUCUAACAAAAAAAUCAUGUAUACACUAAAGUCCCAAUAUUUUCAACGAUUUGACAAGAAAAUCUUAAACUGUAUUUUUUUUACAGUAAAGUUCUAAUUGACGAUUUGGCAAGAAAGUCCUAAAUUUUAUUUUUUUGACAAAAAAAUCUUAAUUACCGGUUAACCGGAAAAAAUGGUUAAAGUAUCAAAAACUGCCAGUAAUUUGGACUUUUCUGUCAAAAAAAUAAAGUUUAGAACUUUCUUGUCAAAUCAAUGAAAAUAUUAGGAGUUUAGUGUAUAACUUUCAUCUUCUGAUGGCUAAGUGUUGUUGGGCGUUUCAUCAAACAUGUACUUUAUCAUAUUUUAUAAGGACAUUUUCAAUGAUUAACCUUAAAAAAAAUGUUACUUUUAUUACAUGAGCGGUCUACUAACUUUUAUUUAACAAAAACAUAUUGUAAAAAAAUUCUCUAACAAUUAACAUUUUUAAAACUAUUUUUUUUAUAAAAUUAACUAAUUUAUUUCUAUCUAUCUUCAAUAUUAUAAUAAACUCUCCAUCCUUUUAUGUAUACAUUAUAAUUUUUGGAAAAAAGUCUCCUCCUAUAAGAGAGCGUUUAAUACAUUACAAAAAGUUGGUUACUUAUUUAGGACAUAGACCCAACUCAUUUUUGGUGAAAUAAUUCUUUAAAUGUUAUUAAUAUUUUGUGAAAACUAAACCCAAAUACAAAAAAUCACAAAUUUCUCUGCCCGUGUUGCAUUUGGCUCAUAUUUUCGUAGUCAAUAUAUCCUAUUUUGUAUGUGGCCUGUAUGGCUACUUUGAGGAAAAGGUAAAAAAAAUGCCUUAUUUUGUGUAAAUGGUUAAGAAAAAUAGUUAGUUUAGUCAUUUAAUUAUUGUUGCUAAAUUUUUUAUAUGAAAUGAAUAUAUUGUUGUUGAAGAAGUUAACUACGACACAGCAUAGUAAUAUUAUUUAUAUUUUUCAUUAAAAUGUCAAAAAUAGAGGAAUAACCACAAAAUGGUUAUUUUUGAGAAAAACAAACUCAUAAAGCCUCCUCUUAUUUAUAAAAUAGACUUCAAGAAAGUUACUUUUAAUUACUUUUAACUAGGAAGAAUCUCCGUUUUAUGGGGAUGGAUACGCUAAAAAAAUGGACAAAACGGGAAGAUUUUAUUUAGUUACAUUGAGCACCAGAUCUCCGUUAAAUCGAACACCAAAUCUGAAAUUUUAAAAUCUUACAUCUAGCAAAAAAAUAUAUAAAAACAUUUUUAUUGUGAUAAGAAAAUCAAAAAAGAAAUCGUUUUUAUUAAAAAACAAUAAAAGUUCAUUGCACUUGAGACAUUACCAUAUCAGGAGAGAAAACAACAAAGUGUGGUUGGGAUGUUUGUGUUUUUUUCAAAAGUGUUUUCAAUUAACUAAUUAAUUCAUUUUCAGAUUAUAUGGAAAUUAGGUAACCUGUUCCUUUUUUUGAAAAAACUAAAAUAACAAUAAUGGUUUUUUUUUUUUUUAAUUUUGAUACCUCAUUAUCUUUUCAAGUCAUUUUCCUGAAAACAAUUAUUAAAAAGUUUCAUUCAUUAAUUAGUUUUCGACAAGGUUGAUAAAUUAGAAUCCAUUAUGAAAUUCUUCCACUUUAGGGUGGCAUAAUUGCAUGGAGCUAAACCUCUUGUUUAAGCCACUACACAAUUAAAAGAUGAAUUUUAAUAUAAAUUUCUUAUAUCCUAUGUAAGCAAAAUGUAUAGUUUUAUCUUUGUUCUAAUACUUUAUUUAAUAACAACUAAAGAGCCUUUUGUUUACAAAAGAAAAAUAUUGAACGCAAUAAAAGCAUAUCAAAACCCAACUAAGAUUUUAAUGAGAAAGUAUCUAUAGUUAGUUCUUUUAGAAAGUAAUAUUAUUAUAUAAUUGAACUUAUUAAAAAAACAGUAUGCUGUUAAAAAAAAUAUAAAGAAACCAAUAUCCAAGAUUUGGGUUUUUCAAAUGUUAAAACAGAAAUGUUGGAUUUCACCAAAAUAACACCAGUGGCAAAAUGGUCAAAAGUUGAACCGGAUAUGAGAAAGCCAUCCGUUGAAUAUAAAAUUACUAUUUAUCUGAGGGAAUGACCAUUUCACCCUUCUAUUCAGAACGAAUGACCGUUUUACCCAUAUAAUUAAAGUUGUUCCUUUGUAGCUUAAAUUAAUAGUCUAACUCAUUUGCUAAAAUGUGACAAUAUAAUAUAUGUAAACACAAUGUAGAGUUUUUUUUUGUUUUUACUCUUAUUUUAUACAUCAGUGAAUUAUAAUUAAUGAGUUAGUUAAAAAUCCAAUUUGAAAUUUGUUUGGGACCUUUUUAUUGCUCAAUCGAUUUCAUCCAGUUGAGUAACCAGAUGGUAUACCACCAUUUAUGAAAUGGUUACUAUAAAAAGUAAUAACUUCUUUCUCUUCUUUUCUUCCUCUUAGAAUAAAUUUUGAGAUCUUUAAAGAUUUUUAAAUAAGUACUUAACAAAAAUAAAAUAAGGAAAAAUAAAUUUGUAAAAAAGUUACCUUCAUAUUAACCUCAUCUUAAAUAAGAGGGUGUCUUGUACAACAUAUGAUGAAAACGAUUUUUAUUGUGAAAUACCAUUAUAGUUUCAUCCCUAGUUGGCAACUUGGCCCUUUCCUAAAAUGGAUUCAUUGUGGCAUUUUCACAAACACCUAAUAUGCAGUAAAUAGAAUAAAAAUAAUGAAGGUUGAAAUGAUUUGGUUGUUUUUUCUAUUGAUAUAGACAAACCUAUUUCAAAUAGAUAACCUUUUCAUCACCACCUGCAACUUUUCAUAAGAAAAAGGAACAUUUAAAUACUGUAUGGAAAAACGAUCAUAAUUGCCUCAAAAGAUUACCACCACAAACUCCUCUAGCUCCUGAUAAAAAUCAUAACUACAGAAAAUCUAAGCACAAAAAUAAAUAUGAAAGAAAACAAUAUCGAAAUGUAUUUUGAAAGAUGCAAGGAAGAUUUUGAGAAAUAGGUUGAGACCUGUAUUUGGGUUUGGGUGGUGUUGUUCAUCCACCUUACACAUGUACACCAAAAGUGGUUGUGAAAAAAAAAGAAUGUAAGCUAAUGAACAACUUGAACAACUUCAAUGGAAUGAUUAUACGUGGUAUGAUUGGAAGAGAAGAAAUAAAGAAGGAAGAAUCACCUGUAAUCCAACUAACAUACAAUCACCAUGAUUGAAAAUCUUAAACACAACUUGAUUUCAGUGACAGUAAAGUAGAGUAGAAAGUAAGAUCUUACAGGUUUUCCCUUUUCUAAUUCAAUCAAAUAGUUGCUUGAAAGGGGCAUUUGCAUUCUUUACAUCUAUCAAAUCCUACCAUACCACAAGGACUCCUAGACGUUAACAACUUUCAAUCUCCAAUAUUACCCAAAAUGAACUCAUAAGCACAAAAGGAAACACAUGAAUAGAUGAAGCAUACAAUUUAGGGAAAUAGAAGCAGAGAAUACGGUUUUAGGAACCGAUGGAAAUAAGAGGAAGUGGCGACAUAUUAAUCGAUGAAGUUUAGAUAUACAAAAUUCCCUAGUGAAAAAAUAAUUAAAGCUUGACCUCUGAUAUUCAAAAGAACGAGGAUUAGAAAAGGAUGAUCUUUAUAAAUAAGAGAUUCAAAUCAAACACGAAACCAAAAGUGGCAUUUCUUCAAGGGAUAUCAAAGUACAUAGAACUUACUCAAGCCAUGGUUGUAGAGGACCUCCACCGUCAUACUCAGAACUGGUGGUCACGGUGUGUGGUGGUGGCGUUUAGGAGGUUGUGGUCAUGUGGUGGCAGUGAGUAGUGAUAGCUUUGGGGAAAAACAAUGUAAGAGCAUUUGGAAAGGAGAUAAAGAAAACGAAAACCUCCGAUGGAGAUUUCAACGACGGAAUAGUGGAGGUCGGUGGGUGAUCGAUCGAACAAAUCAGGAGGGGAAGAAUGUGAUUUUGGGGUUGUGGUUUUCAAGAGAGGAGGAAUUGUGACAUCCCUAAACUUUUUCGGUUUGUUAUUCGUAUUUUCUGUUAAUGCCUUU